UGAUAGCCCAGAUGGAAACGGCAUCCUUUUAUGGCGGGGUUCGCCAUAAAAGAUAUAGUGUACAGCUGGAAUAAGC
rnacentral:sRNA from 1 species